rnacentral:rRNA from 1 species
AGUGAACGCUGGCGGUAGGCCUAACACAUGCAAGUCGAACGGCAGCACAGGAGAGCUUGCUCUCUGGGUGGCGAGUGGCGGGCGGGUGAGGAAUACAUCGGAAUCUACUCUGUCGUGGGGGAUAACGUAGGGAAACUUACGCUAAUACCGCAUACGACCUACGGGUGAAAGCAGGGGAUCUUCGGACCUUGCGCGAUUGAAUGAGCCGAUGUCGGAUUAGCUAGUUGGCGGGGUAAAGGCCCACCAAGGCGACUAUCCGUAGCUGGUCUGAGAGGAUGAUCAGCCACACUGGAACUGGGACACGGUCCAGACUCCUACGGGAGGCAGCAGUGGGGAAUAUUGGACAAUGGGCGCAAGCCUGAUCCAGCCAUACCGCGUGGGUGAAGAAGGCCUUCGGGUUGUAAAGCCCUUUUGUUGGGAAAGAAAUCCAGCUGGCUAAUACCCGGUUGGGAUGACGGUACCCAAAGAAUAAGCACCGGCUAACUUCGUGCCAGCAGCCGCCGUAA